UGGGGAAUUUUGGACAAUGGGGGAAACCCUGAUCCAGCCAUCCCGCGUGUGCGAUGAAGGCCUUCGGGUUGUAAAGCACUUUUGGCAGGAAAGAAACGUCAUGGGUUAAUACCCCGUGAAACUGACGGUACCUGCAGAUUAAGCACCGGCUAACUACGUGCCAGCAGCCGCGGUAAUACGUAGGGUGCAAGCGUUAAUCGGAAUUACUGGGCGUAAAGCGUGCGCAGGCGGUUCGGAAAGAAAGAUGUGAAAUCCCAGAGCUCAACUUUGGAACUGCAUUUUUAACUACCGGGCUAGAGUGUGUCAGAGGGAGGUGGAAUUCCGCGUGUAGCAGUGAAAUGCGUAGAUAUGCGGAGGAACACCGAUGGCGAAGGCAGCCUCCUGGGAUAACACUGACGCUCAUGCACGAAAGCGUGGGGAGCAAACAGG
rnacentral:rRNA from 1 species